GUUUUGAUACAUAUAAGAAGGAAUAGAA
rnacentral:piRNA from 1 species